rnacentral:rRNA from 1 species
AUGAACGCUGGCGGCGUGCCUAAUACAUGCAAGUCGAGCGAACGGACGAGAAGCUUGCUUCUCUGAUGUUAGCGGCGGACGGGUGAGUAACACGUGGAUAACCUACCUAUAAGACUGGGAUAACUUCGGGAAACCGUAGCUAAUACCGGAUAAUAUUUUGAACCGCAUGGUUCAAAAGUGAAACACGGUCUUGCUGUCACUUAUAGAUGGAUCCGCGCUGCAUUAGCUAGUUGGUAAGGUAACGGCUUACCAAGGCAACGAUGCAUAGCCGACCUGAGAGGGUGAUCGGCCACACUGGAACUGAGACACGGUCCAGACUCCUACGGGAGGCAGCAGUAGGGAAUCUUCCGCAAUGGGCGAAAGCCUGACGGAGCAACGCCGCGUGAGUGAUGAAGGUCUUCGGAUCGUAAAACUCUGUUAUUAGGGAAGAACAUAUGUGUAAGUAACUGUGCACAUCUUGACGGUACCUAAUCAGAAAGCCACGGCUAACUACGUG